GACGAACGCUGGCGGCGUGCUUAACACAUGCAAGUCGAACGGUAAGGCCCCUUUCGGGGGGUACUCGAGUGGCGAACGGGUGAGUAACACGUGAGUAACCUGCCCUUGACUUUGGGAUAACUCCAGGAAACUGGGGCUAAUACCGGAUAGGAGCUCCCGCCGCAUGGUGGGGGUUGGAAAGUUUCGGCGGUUGGGGAUGGACUCGCGGCUUAUCAGCUUGUUGGUGGGGUAGUGGCUUACCAAGGCUUUGACGGGUAGCCGGCCUGAGAGGGUGACCGGCCACAUUGGGACUGAGAUACGGCCCAGACUCCUACGGGAGGCAGCAGUGGGGAAUAUUGCACAAUGGGUGGAAGCCUGAUGCAGCAACGCCGUGUGCGGGAUGACGGCCUUCGGGUUGUAAACCGCUUUCGCUCGUGACGAAGCUUUGGGGAAGGGAAGUGGAGAAGGAGGAACGGGCAAACUACUG
rnacentral:rRNA from 1 species